CGAGGAGACUGGGGGCAACAGGAGCUGGGACACAUGACCCCAGCUGGCCAGAAGGACAUUCCACACCACAUGGCAUCUUGCUGAGUGAUAAAACUGGAGGGAGCCAGCUGGAGGUGGCCUGCUUGGGGACUCACUGGGCAUUGUUUCAGUGGGUGGACAAAAGGAUUGCAGUGGGAAUGUGGAUUGCCAGCCCUGUUCUCUGCCCUCACAGCGCCUCCAUUUACUCCACAAGAACUGACAGAAGAGCUUGUGCACAGAGAGCACUAACUCAUGGAACCCUGCAGAAGGCAGCUCCAGCCCAGGCAGAUUGCAAUUGGGAUCUGCAGGCAAUGACUUUAUUACAAGCCAGCACCAGGUCCCUCUGAUGGCAGCCAGUGAACAAUUGAUUAGUGGGAAUAGUGGUGGGAGCUUGUGAGAUGAUUACUAAAGUGUUGUGGCUGCAGAAUGUUUGUUGUUCCUGGCAGUGAGAGCCAGCUUGAAGAGAGGACAGUCUCUCUGUGCCCCUCACCAGGUGCUGGUGAUGGCAUUUGCAAACAUUCCUAUAUGGACAGCAGCUGUGCUACGUCACUGUCAUAUUUUCUGAAAAAUCCCUUUUCACCAGGAUUUCUUCUUCUGGGAAGCUGAGAAGCCUCAGAGAGAAAUGAAAAUUAUAAUUAUCUGAUCUGCUUCUCCUGUGUUUUGCUGCUUUGGAAUAUGGUUUGGAGAUUGUUAAUCCAAAAUCUGAAUUGUUUUUACUUAAUGACCCAUCACCAUCGGCUGUGUCGGGACUCUGGAAGAGGUUACAGGUUUUUCAUUAGUGUCUUGUUAAGCCUUCUGUAAGGAUCCUUUCUCUAUUCUUUAGUAAUAUAAUAUAAUCAAUAGAAUAAAAUAUAAUCAACACAAUACAAUACAAUAAAAUAAUAAAUUGGCCUUCUA